rnacentral:rRNA from 1 species
GUGGGGAAUAUUGGACAAUGGGCGGAAGCCUGAUCCAGCCAUGCCGCGUGUGUGAAGAAGGCCUUUUGGUUGUAAAGCACUUUAAGCGAGGAGGAGGCUCUUAAGGUUAAUACCCUUGAUGAGUGGACGUUACUCGCAGAAUAAGCACCGGCUAACUCUGUGCCAGCAGCCGCGGUAAUACAGAGGGUGCGAGCGUUAAUCGGAUUUACUGGGCGUAAAGCGUGCGUAGGCGGCUGAUUAAGUCGGAUGUGAAAUCCCUGGGCUUAACUGAGGAAUUGCAUUCGAUACUGGUCAGCUAGAGUAUGGGAGAGGAUGGUAGAAUUCCAGGUGUAGCGGUGAAAUGCGUAGAGAUCUGGAGGAAUACCGAUGGCGAAGGCAGCCAUCUGGCCUAAUACUGACGCUGAGGUACGAAAGCAUGGGGAGCAAACAGGAUUAGAAACCCGGGUAGUCC